UACACCUUUCAAGGGAUUUCUUUUACCUUAUCACAUGCCACACCCUACCCCACUUCCACAUACCCACAUUCUCUUUCCAUCCACACCAAUUUUUCUUUCUCUUCCAACUUCUCCAUUGUUCUUCUUCUCCAUUCAAAUGAAAACUGCCGCUCAACUCGAUCCUCUCAAAGUUGAAUUUAUCAAUGAUGUACAUUAACAAAAUCCAAUAUCAAAGUACGCCACAAUCCCAUGGCAGUAUGGAAGAAGUAAGAACGUUGAUGACACAAUUAGUGAGAGUGAAGUAACUGGUAUUGUUGCUAGGAAAAUUGAUGUACCGAGCAUAGCAAAAGAACAUGAUCUAGAUACUACCAAUUAUUCUACACCAAGACCAAAAAGAUCAAUUGUCAGAUAGAUGAUUGGCUUAGAGUUUCAUGAUUUUAGGAUGUUGUUUAUUUUUUGCUUCAGUUUUUGGUAAUAAUAUAUACUAUGCAUUAUUGUUA